rnacentral:sRNA from 1 species
UCUGCCUCCUGGUGCCUCUAUGGGUUUCGACUCAGAGAUCCCUAUAUCAUGGUGUCCAACUUUCCAGGAAUCGUCACCAGCUUUAUCCGCUUCUGGCUUUUCUGGAAGUACCCCCAGGAGCAAGACAGGAACUACUGGCUCCUGCAAACCUGAGGCUGCUCAUCUGACCACUGGGCACCUUAGUGCCAACCUGAACCAAAGAGACCUCCUUGUUUCAGCUGGGCCUGCUGUCCAGCUUCCCAGGUGCAGUGGGUUGUGGGAACAAGAGAUGACUUUGAGGAUAAAGGGACCAAAGAAAAAGCUUUACUUAGAUGAUUGAUUGGGGCCUAGGAGAUGAAAUCACUUUUUAUUUUUUAGAGAUUUUUUUUUUAAUUUUGGAGGUUGCAGUGAGCUGAGAUCGUGCCAUUGUGAUAUGAAUAUGCCUUAUAUGCUGAUAUGAAUAUGCCUUAAAAUAAAGUGUUCCCCACCCCUGCC